CAACUUUCAACAACGGAUCUCUUGGCUCUCGCAUCGAUGAAGAACGCAGCGAAAUGCGAUAAGUAAUGUGAAUUGCAGAAUUCAGUGAAUCAUCGAAUCUUU
rnacentral:rRNA from 3 species